rnacentral:rRNA from 1 species
UACGAAGGGGCUAGCGUUGUUCGGAUUUACUGGGCGUAAAGCGCACGUAGGCGGAUUGUUAAGUGAGAGGUGAAAUCCCGGAGCUCAACUCCGGAACUGCCUUCAUACUGGCAAUUUAGAGUCCGGAAGAGGUGAGUGGAACUCCGUAGUGUAGAGGUGGAAUUCGUAGAUAUUAGGAAGAAACACCAGUGGCGAAGGCGGCUACAC